UUUGUAUUCAAAGUGUGUGAUCCAUUCCCCACAGGCACACACUCAAAUCCCAUUUUAAUCCCUUGGUUUUAUUAACACUGGAGCCCCGCAUCUGGCACUGAGGGAUGGAGAACCUUACGGAUUGGGGUCCAGUUUAAUUCUCUGAAAAAGAUCCGCCCCUGUGACGCUUCCCACCUCAGCUACCAGAGGCAUGGAGCUACGGGAACAGCUCUCCAGCUGCUUGUUCUGUGCCAUACUCCUAGCAACAAUUCCCUUUUCAGAAACCUCUGAGGAGAAAACUGAAAGCCUUGAGAAGAGCACUGAAAAAAUGGUUGAGGCUCACUUAGUCCUACAAAACAAGAUUCUCAUAGGCACGGUUGUUGUCCUCAUUGUUGUCAUCGUUAUCAUCGUUAUCAUCUUAAGUUGUCGUUGUUCAAGAAAAAGAAGGCGAGAUCCUGAAGAAGGUAACAAAAUUUUGCCAAGUAAUACACACAAACACACACACACAAACACAAAAGAUAAGCAGAAAAAAUACUAUUUGUGGUGAGUAUUAAUUUCCCAGACAAAUAUGUAACCAGUGA
rnacentral:lncRNA from 1 species